UUUGGGGUACACUGGGCCCCCCAAAUCCUACAUGUUUCACAAUGCACAUGAAAGUGGAAGCACAUGUGUGAUGUUCCAGACCAAGGCAGUCAAACCAGAGACUCAGUAAUAUUCCAGGAACCACCCCCAGAGAGACUUGGGGUUGGUCCGGAAAUUACUCCCAUUUAAUGCGGGGCUGGGUCUCUGAGGACCCUGCUGCAUCCCCCUGCUUGGCAGACCUGCUGUUUCAGCUGGGUUUCAUUGUGUUUGAAGCCAGGCUUCGUGGAGAGCUGGCAAAAAGAGCCAUGUGAGCUGGGGAAUUUUCCUUCCUUCCCAUCGCCCCACAGCCUGUGGCCUGGAGUUGGGUAGCCAGGAUCUCCCUUUCUAACUCGCUAUUUCUGAUCUUGGGGAGUUGGGUGUAUAAUUUUAUGUGAGGGCUGUGUUGCUCAGAUUCCAACAUGCAUGCCAUUUCAAGGAAAAUAAUUCACAGAUUCUAGAGAAUUAAUUCAUCUUGGAUCCCAAUUUGAGACACAGAAAAUGAGUCUUAUUCUACAACAAAGUAAAUUAUCGUUGCAGCAGAGGUGUGUCCAGAUGUCUGGUUGAAGACUUAUUUGUAUAUUUUUUAAGUGUGUAUGAGACUUGUGGCUUCCUGAGAUUUUGUCCGUGGUCUGUGCUUGGGGAGUCACUGAACUAGGGAGAACUGCAGUGUUGGAGGUCAUUCAGAAAAGGCAGGGCAGCCUGGAGGAGUGGCCUAAGCAUCCCCUGUCUCAUUCAUCCAUCCUGUCACCUCUCAUCCUCAGGGAAGAGACACCUGGCUUGGGCCCCCCUCUGCCCACCCCCAGCAUUUGGGUGGUAACUUGCAGCUACUUCUCAUGGUGCAAAAUCUGCCUCCCUGGCUUGGCAAGCCAGGACCUGUCCUCGUUCUCAUUUCAUUGCAGGUAGAGUUUGCCUGUUUGUUUUUUCCCUCCAGAGUAAAUGCCAACCCUGGAUCGAAAUCUUAAUGGUGGUAGGUUGAAUUUCCAACUGGGCUACUUUGGAAAUAUUCCAUGUCCUGAAAAUUAGAGAGUACAUACUGCUUUUAUGGAUAACAGAAUCCAUCGAAAAUGAUGAAAAUUUGCUUUCCAACACAUCUAAAAUAGACCUGCCUAAACUUUCUCUAUUGUGUAAGACCCCACAGCCACAUGGAAAGGACACCCCUUGGAAUGAGUCAGGAGUGAGCAUGCCACUCCACUGCUGACAUUGUGGACGAUGUGUUCAAUCUUCGAGCCACAGUGUCCUCUGUAAAAUGUGGGUGCUAUUAGUUAGCCCAGAGGGUGGCCAAGAAGGCUAUAUAAAAUAACCAAGGUGCCUGGCAAGGGGCUCAGCACAGAAUGCAGGCUACCCCCCACCUACACACCCAUCAUCAUCCCUGUAACUCAGUAUGAAAUCAGAAGGGGGAAUCCAUUCUCUUUCUGGCCACCCCCAGGGCAAAGCAGUCUGUCUGCAUAAUGUAUCACCCAAAAGGAUGCUAAAUGUCACCUUCUUGGAGAUGGUGCCAGAAUGUUUUGGUUUGUGCCCACUGAAUGAUAAGCAACAUUCUUACCAUUUCAUUCCAUUUCUCUGGGGCCAACAUUUACCAUUGUCUGUCGUGGGGCAGCCUCCCAUCUCCAUGGCCUUGGGAAUCCCUGUAGAGCAGACAACAAUGGCAGAGGUGCAAUUUGCCAUGCCUAUCUUGUUGACUCUCAGCAGCUCCUUCACCGCUGGGCUCCUCCAAUCCACCUGCCACAGACUCUCCACGGAAAGUGGUUAGAGGUAGGACAGGUAAGACAACCUCUCCCCUUCUAGGCUUUCCAUGCAGGCAGCGCCUCACUUGGUUUCUUGCGAAAGGUAGGUAAGUAGAUUCAUCUGAGUGAAAAGUGUUGUCAAAGUGCUGGGAAGAUGUGCAGAAAUCAGGAAUGUGCUACCUCAGCUGAUGGGCAGUGCCUUCCCAUUAAACAGCCUGAUAAAGACAGCUGCCGGCUGGCAGGGCCAGAGAGCAGGACUCUGCACACAGAGAGCUUCUAACUUCUCCCAGAUGCCUCCCUGCUUGCUCGUGUUGCCGAAUGCCACUGCAGAGCCCGACAUUUCACCAGCUCCCAAAUCUGUGCUUCUCCACCCCUGCAACCCUUAAAGGGUGUCCCAGCCAUGGCUGGAUUUACCAGUCACACUUUGACAAUUCCUGACACUUAUCAGCCGUGUGACCCUGCCCCAGUGAUUUACAGUCUCUGAGCCUCAAUUUUCCCAUUAUUGAUAAUGGACGUAAUGAAGCCUACUUGUCAAGGGAUGGGGAAAUUAAGUGAGCUAACACGUGGAAGCAUGCAACAGAGCUGGCACAUAGUAAGUGUUCAAUUAAUUUUUUUCAAGGAUCAAUACAUGAUAUUCGCAUUAAAAUCAUUUUUGUGAAAGAAAAUAUAGUCUCUAACACUAAGGCCAAGAUGUUCUGAUGCUUGACAGAAGUUAUAUGCUACCCAGGGUCACCCACCAUGGCCAUCUGGUUGUGUGCACAGCCUACACAACUGUCCAUGGCUUCCCUGGGCCAGCUCUUACCUGAUGCAUGUCUGGAGUCCAAGGAAAAUUUUUUUUCUAGGUUAGUUCACUUAGGAUACAAGUGAAAUUCUUUCCUCAAUUUUCUGUCCCCAAAGCUAUCCAACAGUUUAAUUAAAUCUUAUGAGACUUAAGACAGGAGCACUCUGCCCUCCAUCUGUCUUCUGAGCUCUUUUCUCCUGGCUAUCUUUACUUCCCAGAGAGUUUUCACCUCUGAGGAGGGGCUCAGUGGGCUCAGGCUCAGAUAGAUGCCAUGGGGCCUGCCUUUAGUGGCCCUGGGGGCUCCUCAUGUUCUUCACGGGGGGUGUAAGGGCAGGAUAUCCCUUGCACCCCCUGACAGCACACACACUCACGUUAGGCUUUGUUUAACCCAAAAUGCCCCCACCGGCAGUAUCCCUGUUAACAUCAUACUCCAAGCUGGUCUCUCUGCUUCCAUUCUUGCCCAUUCUCCUGCCCUCUUCAUGCUUUGACCUCUAGAAUAUGAAUCUACUCCUGUAACUCACCCCUUCUUAAGACCGAUCAAUGGCUCCUCUUGCCUUUGGACAAAAUUCCAAGCUCUUUCCCAGGGUUUAGAAGUUCCUUCUUAGCUUGCCUGUGCUUUUCUGCCCAUCUUCCAGCUAUCUCCUACCCUAGCUUCAAGUCUCAGCUUAGGCAUCACCACCUCUGGGAAGUCUUCCUUGAUUGCCCCACCUCAAAGGGCCCACGGCUGCCUGUACUUCUGCCUUCAGGCAUGUAUCCAGUCCUGUGUGCUGCAAUUGCCUGUUCACAUACCUGUCUCUCUGACUGGUUGAAAUAACUUACUCCUCCCAGUGUCUCAGUGCCUAGCCCAAUGCUGGAAAUGUGUGCAGAGCUAAUGAGUUAACAGAUUCGUGAUGACUCCUUAUGGAGACACUACCCAGAUCUUUUUCAGCAUCAGGACAAGCAAGCAGCUUAGAGCUCCUGCAAGACUCCUGGAGACAUCAGAACUCUCCAUCCUGUGGCCCAGCAGAGGUCUGUGGUUUUUACUGCUAAUGGAAAUUGAACUGACAGAUCAAAGGCAAUGUCUCCUACAGCCCAGAUUGCCAGCAGCCAGCACUAUCAGAAUAUCGGUUGAAUUGGUAAUUCAAAAUUAAGUGGAUUAAUGAUUGACGUCAAUUUGUAAAACCUGGCCUACCAACUCACCUCCUGCAAACAGGGCCUUUCUUAUUCUGGGUCAGCUGGGAGCAUGGAGCUUCCCAGAUGGGAGUUGGUUGAGCUCUAGCCAUACGCUGCCCGCCCCAUCCCAACCCUGAUUUUAAAGGGCCCCUGUUCUUAAAACUACACCAUUCCUGUUAGAUGUCUUAGAAAAGUCUUAGCACCUGAGAUCACUUUUAAAGAAAUAAACUCACGAAUUUAAGCCAAAAGGGAAAAGCCUGGUACAAUUUUGCACCUGUAACACAUGAGUCACUUGAUUAAAGAAAUACUCAAAUAUCAAGUUUGUGAUUCUCUCUGUGUGGGCAGGAAAGUGGGGGGCAUGUGGAGGGUGAAAAAUGCCUCAGCUGCACUAACUUACAAAUCCUAAUCAAUGUCUAAAUAUUCUGGGGCUGUCCACGUUUUGGAAAACGACUUUUCCCCUGUGAGUACUUUAUUUGAUGGUCAGAGGGAGACUGAAGAAGGGAACAGCUGCCGGAGGAUUUCAAAGCCUUCUCCUCUGGCAGGCAACACAAGAUUACUCACCUCCCACCUCGACACCACCGCUACCCAGUACAAAUCUCUGAAAGCAUCUGCAGGUUCUGCAGCACUUGAAAUUGGGACAUAGCUCAUGAGUUCUUCAGCACUUGGUGGGGUCUUCAGGGGACAUUGCUGUGAGCAUCUCAUCUGCUACCUGCCCCUCCCUGCUCACAGGCACAGCCAGCCUGAAGCAGAGAUGCCCUUCUACAAAAUCACGGUUAGUGUUUUGACUCAGACACCCCCUUCUCCCCACACACUCAAAAAACAUGUUUGACCCAGCCUGGCCUCUGCCCGCUCUCUGCUCUUAGCAUACACUACCCAUUUCUACUUUUCUAAUCAUUAGAAUUAAGGAUACAAUUUUAAGAUGCAAGUGAAGAGGUAAUUACCAAGAUGUUUAUCACAGUGUUAUAUAUAUGAGUGAAAAAUACAAAACAUCUUAAAUGUGCA
rnacentral:lncRNA from 1 species